CGGGGAGACGGCUGUGGGAGAAACAGAGGGGACAGUGGAAGAGAUGAGUGAGGGAAUACAUAAUUUGGAGAAUACUGAGAUUGGAGGUGACGGGGCGACACGUGAAGGGGGGUUGGAGCGCAGAAUGGGAAGGGUCUUGGGGAGGAUGGAGAAGGAAGAAGCAGGGAGGGAUCAGGAUGUAAAGCCUAUGAGGUGGCAGGAAGCAGACUUGGAUGUUCAGGAAAAGUCAGUGCAGAUACCGAGGAAAAGGGGAUAGCAGCAAGGUCCACCAAGCCAAAACCAAGGAAAGGCCUCUGCCCCGAAGGUCUCAUUGGCUUAUAAACUCUGGGUGGUGAAGAAUUGUAGGCUUAGACCAGUGUCUUUGGAUCCUAAACUUGGCUACUCUUCACAGUCCAGAUAAGUCCCUACAAAGUCAUCCGAAGCUGUUUGCAAGCUCUGGUGAUUUAUUCUCUUGUUUAUCCAAGUUUACCUGGCGGGUGUCUUCUUGUCCUGGGCUCAUCUUCUGCCAGGGCAGGAGCUAUGUCAUGGAUCAAGGAAGGAGAGCUGUCACUUUGGGAAUGGUUCUGUGCCAACAUCAUAAAAGCGGGCCCAAUGCCCAAACACAUUGCCUUUAUAAUGGAUGGAAACCGUCGCUAUGCCAGGAAGUGCCAAGUGGAGCGGCAGGAAGGCCACUCACAGGGCUUCAACAAGCUGGCUGAGACCCUGCGCUGGUGUUUGAACCUGGGCAUCCUAGAGGUGACGGUCUACGCGUUCAGCAUUGAGAACUUCAAACGCUCCAAGAGUGAGGUAGACGGGCUAAUGGAUCUGGCCCGGCAGAAGUUCAGCCGCUUGAUGGAAGAACAGGAGAAACUGCAGAAGCAUGGGGUAUGUAUCCGGGUCCUGGGCGAUCUGCAUUUGUUGCCCUUGGAUCUCCAGGAGCUGAUUGCGCAGGCGGUACAGGCCACCAGGAACUAUAACAAGUGUUUCCUAAAUGUCUGCUUUGCUUACACAUCCCGUCACGAGAUCAGUAAUGCUGUGAGAGAGAUGGCCUGGGGAGUGGAGCGAGGCCUGCUGCAUCCCAGUGAUGUCUCUGAGUCUCUGCUCGAUAAGUGCCUCUAUACCAACCACUCUCCGCAUCCUGACAUCUUGAUACGGACUUCCGGGGAAGUGAGGCUCAGCGACUUCUUGCUCUGGCAGACUUCCCACUCCUGCUUGGUGUUCCAACCCGUUCUGUGGCCAGAAUACACAUUUUGGAACCUCUGUGAGGCCAUCCUGCAGUACCAGAUGAACCAUAGCAUGCUCCAGCAGAAGGCCCGAGACUUGUAUGCAGAGGAGCGGAAGAGGCAGCAGCUGGAGAGGGACCAGGCUGCAGUGACAGAGCAGCUGCUGCAAGAGGGGCUCCAGGCCAGUGGGGACGCCCAGCUCCGACGGACGCGCUUGCACAAACUCUCAGCCAGACGGGAAGAGCGGGUCCAAGGCUUCCUGCAGGCCUUGGAACUCAAGCGGGCUGACUGGCUGGCACGUCUGGGCACUGCAUCAGCCUGAAUGAGGCUGGCCUCCUGCCACUUUGCCCUGCCCUCUGCCUCCAGGGCCCCACUCCCCUCUCUUUUCUUGGUGAAAGGCGCCUCCCUCCUAAUGAUGAAUUGUGUUUCCUUUGCUUGGCAGGGGAGCCCCAGAGGCCAGGUCUGCUGGCCAUAGAUAGACCUGUUGGACUGCCUGGGACAGUGGCCCCUGGGGAGGGUUGAGGUGAUAGUCUCCCCACAAGUACACUAAAGCCAGCUCUGGUCACCCAUAGGUUUGGAGAGCAGGGAGCCCCAGGUCUUUGCUGCCUGUUCCUUCUGCCUCUGCCCCAUCGACAUGUGCUCCUAGAUGCACUUUAUUUUUUUUACCAGCACAUCCUUCAACACACAGAAUUUCAGGGCAGAGGUCUCCCCAAAACCCUAGCCCUUUACCCUUCCAUCUUAACCUUCUACCCGACUUUCACAAAAGAUUUGGCUCCACCUUGGAUCUGCUGGUAAAUAGCUAAUAGGCAGCCAGCGUUAUUUGGGCAAGGAAGAGGAGGGAGAGACAGAAAAUUUGCCCAUCUGCUGCUCCUCCCCCUGGGCUCUCCACCUGGGAUUUGCUAUUGAAUCUCUACCCCCUCCCACCACACAGUACUGAUUGCUCACUGAAAGGCUCAGCGCCCCCAAUGGCGCGCGGAAGCCAGGCGGGUGAUUACAAUCCAAUUACCUAUUGUCGACUCAGCCCACACAAGCUUUUCUCCUCCUCUUGCAGGGCAUGGGGCCAGGCUCCACGCCCCUGUGAGACCAGCCCCCUCCAUGACUACAGGGUAACAGAAGGGCCUGUAGGCCCUGGUGAAUCUAAUCCACCACAGGCCUUCCCUGGAACAUGUCACAGGACCCAGAGCACAGAAACAAGCGCUUCUCCCAACUGACUGCUGUCCUCACCAUCUCAGACUCUGCUUCCUACCGCCUCAGUCUUCGAGACUUCUCUGUUCUUGACCUGGCCCCCUAAGUAGCCCCUGAGACUGAUUUAUUCUCAGCGUGGCGGAGUCUCCGCUUCUUAGGGCCAACACUGCCCAGCAGGGAGAAGAGGACCAAGUCAAGGGCCGUGUCCUUUCCCUUACCUCUCCCUGCCAGGCCUUGCUGCAGAGCUGCUGAGAGGAUUAGUGCCUUUGAAGGGCUGUCUGCCUGAGCAGCUCUGCUUCAGGUGCCCGGAGCAGCAAGCACCAGCCUUUAACACCAGCCAAACACCACUAUGUUUAGUCUUCCCAUUUUACUUUCUGCGAACUGUUUCCCCAGCACCUCCCUCUAGGGGAGAGGCGGGGUCUUGCAAGCAGUGCUCCCAGCAAAGUCUUUAAACCCCUAACUUCCCCGUAUUCCAGUCUCCUCUUCCCCUUCCUGUGCCAGGAUACCUGGCACAAGAGACCCAUUGGCCAUCAUCCCUUCUCCCAGAAUCAGGCAGAAAUGCCAGACACUGCGAUUGAGAAGCCAAUCAAUGCACCCUUUGGCAAGCCCCCCACACACACCUGGCAUUCCCCACAACCAAUCCCUGGCACAGGGUUCCCAGAGAGCAGGUGCUGUACAUUUUCCAGCUUUAUAAUGGGGCUGUUGACAGCUUUAAUUAGGGAGGCAUGAAUUAUGCGGCUAUAAUGCAGAGCCCUACAAUUAAGGCGGGAAUGAGGGGCUGGAGGCAACAAACGGAAUCUGCCCAGUGAGCCUGGCUAUUGAGUCCUGUCUCCGUUCUGUGUCUGACUUUCCCUAAUAUGACUGAGGUACAGCAGAGAUGAUUAAUGGAGCUGGUGUCUCUCUUUGGCGUAUUCUGGAGAAGGUACACAGAGUGGGAUGUGUAGGGGCUGAGGGACCACUACUGCCAAGGUGCAGGAGCUGCAAAUAGUUGAUAGGGACUCACUGUGAUUGCUUUCUGCCCGCAGGAUUUGUACAAACCAGCUCAACCCUUGCCUCAAGAAAGAUGUAAAACUUGUCUACAAACAGUACAACAGAAGAACACCUGGUUUUGCGGCUGCAGUUGUCUGCCCUUUCUCAGGUGCGCUUGGCUACCUCCAGGAUCCCCAGCUUUGGGAGCGUGCGGGGUGGGGGAGGCAGUGGAAAAGCCCUUUUGCCAUCCCAACACCUGUUCCUCUACUUGUUUCCUGAUCCCCGGUCGCUUUCCUCCACCCUCCUUGUCCUCCCGCAAGUGAGAGGAAGCCAGCCUGCCAGUGUGGAAGGAGGGAUUUCGCCAGCUGCGUUUGCAGCGCCCGGGCUUGGUGGCCGCGUCGGGUGGGGGCAGCUGAGCUUGAUGUCUCCAGAGCGGGUGGAGCGUAGGGGGAGGGGAGUGCUAGUAGGCCUAGGCGGCUGCUCUCCAUCAUUCUGUGGCGGGGUUCCGAGGUUCGGGAAUACAGGGACCUAAGGGAGCCACUCGACAGGCUUUGGGGUGGGGGGCUUCGUUGGCAUUUGGGGAGGCGGCUGAGAAGCGGGUGCUGAAAGGACAGCUCCUACCUGCCCCACUGCACCCGAAAGGGACCUCUGCGUGUAAAGUCUCCCCCCUCGAACCCCCACCCCACCUCGAGCAGACUGCCUUCCAGGUGAGGAGCACGAGAGGAUUCCUCGGAGUGGCAGCUUGGAAGGAUGCACGUCCGGCUGCGCCAAGCUGGCUUCCCCGCUCUUUCCCCACUUCAGCGUCUGCCUUGGCCCUGGGAAUUGCAGCCUGUGCCUCCACGCCGCGCGCUUCCUCCCGCCUCUGGCGGAGAAGGGCGGUGCGGCCAGGCCUCGAAAACCCUUCUUCUGGGGCCCCCAGCGGGAACAGGAAGGAAAGCGGCCGAGAUGCGCCCUAAGUGUCGCAUGGCUUGGAGAAGUGGGUAGCUGGGUUGCAUAAGGUAGAAGGAACUUGGUAGUUUGCAAAAGCCAGCUCUUGGCGGGAGCCGAAACGCAGAGCCCGCCGACUCGCAC